rfam:Otolemur garnettii contig085530, whole genome shotgun sequence.
GCCCUAUGGACACACCUUUUGUCCCAGCUACUUGGGAGGCUGAGGUGGGAGGAUCGCUGGAGCCCGGAAGUUCUGGGUUGUAGUGUGCUAUGCCAUGAGUGUCCACACUAAGCUCUGCAUCAGUAUGGAAACAGGGGUCACCAGGUUGCCUAAGGAGGGGGGAACUGGUCCAGGUCAGAAACUGAGCAGGGCAAAACUCCUGUGCUGAUCAGUAGUGGUAUCAUGACUGUGAAUUAGCCAAGGCCAUCAGUCUGAGCAACAUAGUGAAAUCUUGUCUCUA